rnacentral:rRNA from 1 species
AUAAGUAAUGUGAAUUGCAGAAUUCAGUGAAUCAUCGAAUCUUUGAACGCACCUUGCGCUCCUUGGUAUUCCGAGGAGCAUGCCUGUUUGAGUGUCAUGA